rnacentral:lncRNA from 1 species
CCCAAAGCCCACAAGAUCCAGUUGUCAUUUUACAUCUCAUUUUCGUGUAAUAUGUACAGAAUUUAAGUAAGGUUAGCACUACGUACAAGUUGCAUAACAUACCCCUUUGAACUUAUUGGUUACAAUUUAUUUUUAACUUUUUGUGUUAUUUUUUAAUGACAGUGAGAAAUAAAUUUGCAACCAUUAUACUGUGUAUAAACUCCUAAAUUAUAAGGCUUGUGGUUGGUCAUUAAAAUAUUCCUUGUUUCAAAUUCUUUUUUUUAAAACUUUUAUUAACUAAAAAUUAUUUGCCAGUCCUUUUUAAAGAUAUGCAUUAAAGCUAAUUUCAGUCCGCAGACCCAAAUCGCCAGAGAGUUUAGAAAUUCCUUUCAACUGUUAUACACCCCCCCCCCCCCCCCC